rnacentral:lncRNA from 1 species
AAACAUGUAAUUUCCUCCUUAAAUAUAACAAAAAUGACUUUUCAAAAUAAGGUAAUAAAAUUCUGUUUACUUAUCCUAAGAGCUAACAUAAAAUUUAAUAUAAUUUGAAUAUUUUUUUUCAAGAUCUUGACCCUCCUUAUAAUUAACAAAAAAAAAUGAUUGUUGAUGUAUAAUAAACGAUUUAGAGACAGUCCAAUUUAGGGGAAAAUAAUAUAUUACUGCCAAUAGUUUCUUUGAAGGUCCAUGUAUACAGUACGAGAAACAUUCAAA